rnacentral:rRNA from 1 species
GUCGUACGAGAGUUUUUAACUCAUGUGGCGGACGGGUGAGUAACACGUAUGAAUUUGCCUUUAGGAGGGGGACAACAACUGGAAACGGUUGCUAAUACCCCAUAUGCUUUCGAGUGAAAUGGAUUUUUCCGCCUAAUGAGAAUCUUGCGGCUGAUUAGCUUGUUGGUAAGGUAAUGGCUUACCAAGGCGACGAUCAGUAUCUGGUUUGAGAGGACGAUCAUACACACUGGAACUGAGACACGGUCCAGACUCCUACGGGAGGCAG